UUAUUAUACCUCGGCACAGUCAAAGAAAGUUGUAUCUUCCUUAAUUAAUGACUCAUUUAAUGCGCCACCCGCCGGGCACGUCAAGUGACCCAAAUCAAACACACCGACGAUGUUGCGUGACACAGGUGGAGGCUAAAACAUGGAGGAUCAUUCAGCGGGACUUCUGCUGUCAGUCAGGUGUGUGAAGACUUUCUGUUUUGGACUACAGCCCCUGAUGUGACUGGAUUCAGCUCAACAUGUUGGACAAUUGCAGUUUGAGGAGGACUUCGCAGUGCGCAAGCCUCACAGAGUGACGUCAGACAGGUCAUGCAGCCGCUGCACGUUACACCGUUAAAGAUCUGUUACAGCGAUGAUGUCGAGGAUCACAGUGCACAACAAAGGGUUAAAGGCCAGUACAUCGCAGGUUCAGAGUUCAGAGGUUACGAGUCCCAGGAGGUGUCAACUUCAUUACCCAGAGUGCAUCAACCCGACCCAGAGGGCUUUCUCAGUAUUUAGGUAACCUCUAACCUCUCGCUACUCGGGAGUCAUUCAAGCUCUCCUUCAGUUUUCACUUUACCCCCCUUCUUCCAGAGGUUUCAGGGUUCAAGUUCACUGUCAGUGCAGCUCAGACAUGUUGAGGCCAUCCAGCUCCGUCUGAGGCACAACACUGACUGAAUCUACCUCUUCUAUCUGUA